UCAAAUUUGAAAUCUGGCUCUUUCAGGGUCCGAGUUGUAAUUUGCAGAGGGCGCUUUGGCGUUGGCAGCGGUCCAAGUUCUUUGGAACAGGACGUCACAGAGGGUGAGAAUCCCGUACGUGGUCGCUAGCCUUCGCCGUGUAAAGCCCCUUCGACGAGUCGAGUUGUUUGGGAAUGCAGCUCUAAAUGGGAGGUAAAUUUCUUCUAAAGCUAAAUACUGGCCAGAGACCGAUAGCGCACAAGUAGAGUGAUCGAAAGAUGAAAAGCACUUUGGAAAGAGAGUCAAAUAGCACGUGAAAUUGCCAAAAGGGAAAGGUAGGAGGUCAGAGAUGCGGCCUGGGAUUCAGCCUUGCUUUUGCUUGGUGUUUUUCCCAGAUUGCAGGCCAACGUCGGUUUUGGGCACCGGAGAAGGGUAGGAGGAACGUGGCACCUCUCGGGGUGUGUUAUAGCCUCCUACUGGAUACAGCGACCGAGACCGAGGACAGCAGCGUACUCGCAAGAGCGGGCCUUCGGGCACCUUUACGCUUAGGGCGUUGGCAUAAUGGCCCUCUACCACCCGUCUU
rnacentral:rRNA from 1 species